rnacentral:tRNA from 1 species
GUCCCUGUAGCGCAAUGGAUAGCGUGUCGGACUUCUAAUCCAAAGGUCGUGGGUUCGAAUCCCACCAGGGGUG